rnacentral:rRNA from 1 species
AUACGUAGGGGGCAAGCGUUGUCCGGAAUUACUGGGCGUAAAGAGCUCGUAGGCGGCUCAGCAAGUCGGUCGUGAAAGCCCGAGGCUCAACCUCGGAACUGCGGUCGAUACUGCUGUGGCUAGAGUCCGGUAGAGGUGAGUGGAAUUCCCGGUGUAGCGGUGGAAUGCGCAGAUAUCGGGAGGAACACCAGUGGCGAAGGCGGCUCUCUGGGCCGGUACUGACGCUGAGGAGCGAAAGCGUGGGGAGCAAACAGGAUUAGAAACCCUAGUAGUCC